GCCCCCCGAGUAGGCUAUUUAAAACAAACAAACAAACUAUGAUACAUGCUACCCACCAGAAUGCCUUAAAGUAAAAAGAAAGUUCCAAGUGUUGGCAAGACUGAGCAGCACCAAGAAGUCCCCCACACUGCUGAUGGGACUGUAAGCUGGGAUGCCCACUUUCUAAAACUGCCUGGCAGGACCCACUAAGGCUACAUAUUUGCGUUCGCUACGGUUUUGCACUUCUGAGUGUAUACCCAACAGAAACAGGUCCGGGAGCUCACCGAAAGACGCAUACGGAGCCGCACUCACUAUUCAUAACCAUUCCAGACUGGGUCUUAGCAAAAUGCCCGUCAAUUAAAAAACAACAACCGCCAAGUCGAUUGUGGUAUGUUCCCAGACUGAGAUAUUGCACAGCAGCGCAAAGAAAGAAACCUGAAGUAUGUGCGGCAACAAAGGUAACACGGAGGGAAAGAAAGGACACACAGAAGAAGGCACGUCGUGUGAUUCUACUUGUAAACGGUUCCAAGUAAUCCGUGCCAAUAAAAGCCAGGAUAAGGGCAAAAGGUGGGGGCAGAGGUGAAAGAGCUUUUCUGGGGCCGGUGAUAAUCUGCUUGGGGCAGGGUUCCGGGCACGUGGGCGUGUUCCGUCUGUGAAAAUUCACUGAGCUGUAUACUCAGCAUUUGUGCCUUUUUCUGCGCGGAGGUAGGUCACGGCAGUUUCUACAAAAGCAACUGAUGAUUUCGCUGGGGAAAGAAUAUAGAACGAACCAGCCUAGUGGGGUUACCCAACUAGACAGCCUCGGUCCGAAUCCCACGGUUACCGCCUAUACGCUGCCUGACCCCAGGCUCCCGGGCACCGGUCCAGAGGCUUGACAACGAGCCACGUUUGGGACUGCCAGAAACUGCCACAAAAGAGUCCGCCCAGAGGGCCUGUGGGAAUCGCUGGGGAGGAGAGCGCGAUUCAGUCAGGAGCCGCACCAGGCGCCAUGCCAGGCCAGGCCGGAGGCCCCUGACGCUACCUGCCGGCUGGGGCAGGCCCUGGGCCCUCGCUUUUCCUCCAGCUCCCUGCCGGAACCUUCCCUCCCAUCGAGGGGCUCCUCCAAACACGGCCCGCCGGGCCGGGGCUGCCUUCACAGGCCGGAGAGGGGAAGCAACAGAACAGAGAGCAGGAGCGUCCUACCUUCCAGAAUGGAGCCCGUGCACACCGCGGCACCCUCUCUCCGCCGAGUCUGUUCUCCCCUGAACACCCCUGGCGGACGAGGAACCCCCCCCCCUUACAGGCCUCCUCCAGAGUCCCCACAAUCAGGUGUCCGUGGCAGGCUGCGACCCGCUCCCCCCCCCCCACUUUCUGAGCAGCCGGGGGCCCCAGGCAAAGCACACCUUCCCUCUCAUCGAGUCCUCUGCUCCAGUGAGCUGAGCUCACCCUCUAAAGCCUGGGCCGCAACAAAACCAACCCAAAGGACAUCCAUUUUUAUCCCCCGUUAGAAGUGAAUCUAACUCAGCAACCCCCCCCCCACCAGAGUAGCCCCACUGACUUUUAACUAGCUUCCUGCCUGUCUUCUUUGUCGCUCCUUCGCUAGCUCUUUUCCACACGCUCGCCAAAGAACAGAUGAAGAGUGUCGCGUGCCCCGAGCCACGGGUGGCAGACCGGCUAGCUCGACGCGAAACCAUAUCCUUCCAUGUCUUGGGCACACGGAUUUCCCAGCCUCCUUUGCACGCUUGUGGGGUCAUGUGGCAGCGCCAGCCAGACUAUGGAGGUGCCCAUCAAACUUGCCACGCUAUUCUCCAUGCUCUAUGGUUUUGGGUUUUUUGGUUUUUGGGUGUGUGUCUGUGUGUGUGUGUGUGUGUGUGUGUGUGUGUGUGUGUGUGUGUGUGUGUUUUGGCCUCAUCUGCCGGAAGGAGUUUGCGUUUCUGAACGCCUGCAGAACACAGGUCCCCUCCUCUUGGAAUGUGACAUGAGCAAGAAAUAAACUUAAUUUGUGUGAAGGCCUGAGACUUGGGGCGGUUGAUACAGCAGUUAGCCUGCCCUGAUGCACAUGCCAAGUUCCAGCCUCUCAAACUUCUUUCUACAAGCCUGGACAACGCCAGCCCUCUCUCUCACUGGUUCCCCAUGGAAAACAUCUUUGACCUGUCUGCGUGUAGACCACACCUGAAGUAUUUGCAUCCACGUCCCAUAUUCUGACCCUCAACCUCCAACCUUGGUUCAUGUUUCAACUUUUAAAUCGACUUCCUGCCUGUUGGUAAAAACGUGCUGGUUGGAAGUGAACUGAAACUCUCAGAGAUGGUACCCGAUUUUCUCUUAACUGAGUCUUCAGGCCAUAUGCUCUGUGUGUCCAUGGGGCACGUUGAGGGUAUCGGAAUUAAUGACAAGAAACAGGCAGCUUUGUGGUAAACAGAGGCUGACAGACCUACGGACUGAGAAACGGAGUUGAUUUAUUAUAUUUGACUUUCUGAGAUUCGGGGCUGCCAGAUUUCAAUACAUAGUGGCUCCUUCCAGCUGUAACAUUCUGUGAUGCCAUGAAGACCAGACCCGCUUGGAAAACAACCCACAAGGACACUUUCCCACAGUAUGGGCUUGUGAGACAAGCAACAUGAUCAAGGCUCACACAGUAGUUGCUAUGGCUCACAAUUUAAUAAACAGUUAUUACAAAACCAAGCAGGACCGAGUGCCUUUGACACGGGCGUGAAGGCAGAGCGGGUACCCACCCCAGCUGGUAGACACGGAAGAUUCCUUCUUUGUUAGAGAUACUACGGGAAUAGUGCUGGCCGAUGUCUUCCUACCUGUUACGGGGUCUUCGACUUUAAUCUGCAAGUAUGCAGCAGUGUCUGAACAUUCUGGUUUGGCUAGUAGAACUUGGACUUGGUUCUGAAGUACAAACAUUGCUGCGUUGACACCUCUUGGCCACCAGAGAGCUCUAUGCAUCCAGCCAGAGGCACCUACUGGAUCAGCAAGCACGCGUUCAUAAAAAGCAGGCUUGCCCUGCAGUCCCUGCGGCAUGGAGGACAGGUUCUAUUGUGAUUUCUGACACCUGCAAAACGUACUCAUCUGCCCCAUCACCAGCACCUCUGGCUCUGCCCCUCUGCCUUUUGCAACAUGGCACUUGGUGCAUUCAGGAGGCAGAGGUGGUCAACGUGGGUACCAGUUCUGCACACCGGUCGAAUGAAUUCCUAGCUGUGGGGCAAGAGAAGCCGGGGCCUUCAGACUUAACUGGUUUUAUUGGUGGCUGCCAGCACUGGGGGCCAUGUGUAACGCAGCACUCAGGACAACGUCUUGUUGUGGGCUUUCUGUGGUGGUAGCUUUCUUUUUCUGCUCAUAAAAAUAACAUAUGCCAAACAUGGAAAAGGCGGAAAACACAAACUAGUACAAAGAAGAAAAUGGCAACAAUCCAUCAUUCCACGAACCAGAGAAAAUAACUGAAUAGAUUUGGACAUAUUUCCUUCCAACCUUCUUUUUCUUGUGGGAUGCGUGAGUAUUCUUACAAGUUGAUUGGAGUUGAGGCAUCCGGAUUUUUUGGGUAAUCUUUCUAACCUGAUAUUUUCUCUUCAUUUUGGAAGUGUUUUUCCAUAUCAUUACAGGCACAAUGCAAGAUAACCUGUAGAAUUCAGAGCAGCACCGAAGAAGAUAAAACCCCCCUGUGUUUCCAGUACCCAGAGAUAAUCAUUUUCACAUUUUGGUGUUUUACCUUCCAGUGACUUUUCUAAGCAUGAUAGUUAUUUACUUUUACAAAACUGGGACCAUGUUGUACAUACUGUUUCGUAGGCUGCUUUUUCCACAUAAAUAUUCUAUCGUCAUCAUUUUCCCUACAUCAUCAAAUAUCCUCCCCAAACCGGAUUCUUAAUAUCUGGGUAAUAUUAAAAUAUCUGAGUCAAGCUUAAUUCGCUUAAUGACUUGUCUGCUGUUGGUUAUUUGUGCUGAUCCCAAUACCUUUUACUCCAAUACCAUCAUGAUGAAUAACUUUAUACUAAUUAUACCCCAUGUUCACAUCAUCAAUUAUCUACCCAGCAUAGAUUCUUAGACUUUGAAUUGCUGGGUCAAAGGGCUUGAACAUUUCUAAAAGACACAUUCCAAUGGCCACACUGUCCCCCGGAAAUGUCAUUAUCAGUUCAUAGUCUCAUCAGCACUACCUGAAAGUCUCUGUGCCAUCCACACUGCCCACACCGGGGAUUACUGAUUUUCAAAGUCCAGGUCCAUUUAAUACACACACACACACACACACACACACACACACACAGUUAUGCCUCACUGAACAUUUAAAACUUUGUGUAUUGGCCACUUUUAUCUCUUCAUUUGUGAGUUACCGAGAACCUGAUAAGUAUCUACCACUGUGCUGCACAUUAAUGACAAUUAUCACUGUCUUCCAAAGAGCCGUGCAGAUAAAUGCCAUUACCUCCCUUUUACAGACGAGGAUACUGAGCUACAGAGAGCUUAAGUGUCUUCCGGAAGACACACAGCAAGUGCAUGACAAAGUGAGGCUUCGAGUUCAGAUCCGUGAUCCCCAGUCUCAUGCUCUGCUGAGGACGCCACACUGCCUCUCUGAGAAAUGUUUCAAAAUGUGCUUCGAUCGAGGAGAGAAGAUUAAAGAAUUCCUGUGCUAUCUGUGUAAGAAAUGUCUACUUGAACCGCCGUAAAGGAGAGACGGGAUGAGUGAGAAAACCUUGCAGACCUUUUUACAGCUGUGCAAUCCAACUGCGUCCUUUACACAGAUGCGGACUCUAGGACCCCGAGGAGUUAAGUGACUUGCUAGCUAUGGGUUUGACCAAAAGAUGGGGUAAAGAGGCCAAGAAAAUACAAACAGCACAGAACCCCGACAAGCUCUCUCAUGCCACUCUGUCUUUACGCACCGGGUUUCCUGUUUGGAUUUCAUCCCUCAUCCGCCUGGUGACUCAGCUAAAAUGUCAGGUCCUCUACAAAACCUCCCAUCAUUUUUCAAGGCAGAAUUAACUGUCUCUGUGCUCUGUGAGUAUCUGUACUGACUGCAUUAUGAGCACUUUCUGCAUUGUGUGGCAGAGAUGUCUAAUUGCCCUGCACAGUUUUUAAUCCCUUCCCUUCCAUAGGGAUCGUAGGGACGGGGCUGAUGAUGGAAAGUGGCUGUCUAGACAGCGUGGCUUCCCAGCACCCCAGCCUCGCGUCUCGGUGUGGCCGUGUGACUUGUUGCGGUGAAUGGCAGGUGAGCGGGGCACGGCCUUCUACUGCCCCUGCCUUGCUUCCUACCUGCGAACUCUGUUGUUGGAGAAUAUGAUAGUUGGAACAAGACCAUCACAAGCCUAAGGACAAAAAGCCAACACGAUGGGGACGGCAGAGCAAAAGCGUGGGAGGAAGCUGGUGUGAACAACAACGUCCAGCUACUAAAUCAACCCUAGAACCGCCUACCUUCAGACAUUAGAUCUUGUGAGAUAAUUAAAUAUCGUUAUCACGGAAGCCACCAUUAAUUGGAUAUUCUGUCCUUGUGGUCUAAAGCAUCCCACUCCUGUCUUUGAUUAUUCACCUCUGUCUUUCACCAGAUUAUUAACUUUUAGGAGCAUCCUUCGCAUUUAAUUCACCUUUGUAUCCUGUUCCCCGGGGCCUAUCACAAAGCCCUACAGGGGCUCAACGAACAUUCCCCGAAUGGAAUCCGCCAAUGGUGUUCAAUUUGGGGAAAAGAUAGUGCUAUGCCUAACGAUUCCUGAUUUCCACGGGCCAAUUCCUAUAAGAACCCGUUUACUUAAGCCAAACUCUUCCAACUGUGGCUCCAUGAAGCUCCCUGCCAUUCACACAGGCGGGUACAGAAUUUGCUAGGCAAGGGUUCAUUUACUGCUUGUUAAUUAGUCAAGUGCUGAGUGUAGCACAUGACUCAUUUUUACAUUAUUCACACAACUGCGCGAUUAGCAUUUUAAAAGGUUUUCCAGGAGGCUGGCCCAAGUAAGUUUAUCUUGAAAAAUGACACAAAAGGAAAAGAAUAAUUAACAAAUCGGUUCCCAAGCUUUUAGUACGUGGCCAAGGAACUGAUUUUUUGCUGGACUUGAACCUCAGGGGUCCUGGCCCUACCCUCAGAGCAGCAGACCUGGUAGGGAAGGGAAGGGAGGUUUCGUGCUUGGCAAUGGUACGUGGUUUUCAUACUCCUCAGUUCAACAAUUAACUCAGGUACUCGUUCAACUGACUCCAGUUCCAACGAACUGGACAGUGACCAACUUGGUAGUUUGGUUUUGGAAGAAGGUAAAGAAGCACGUGAGAGGCAGCUCAUCGCCAUUAUUAAGUGAAAAACAA